AUUGAACGCUGGCGGCAGGCCUACCACAUGCAAGUCGAACGAGUGGCGGACGGGUGAGUAAUUUAUGGGAAACUGCCUGAUGGCGGGGGAUAACUACUGGAAACGGUAGCUAAUACCGCAUACCAUCAGAUGUUCCCAGAUGGGAUUAGAUUGUUAGUGGGGUAACGGCUCACCAAGGCGACGCUCCCUAGCUGAUCUGAGAGGAUGACCAGCCACAAUGGAACUGAGACACGGUCCAGACUCCUACGGGAGGGAGCAGUGGGGAAUAUUGCACAAUGGGCUAAAGCCUGAUGCAGCCAUGCCGCGUGUAUGAAGAAGUCAUUCGGGUUUUAAAGUACUGUCAGCGGGGAGGCGUUACCCGCAGAAGAAGCACCGGCUAACGCCGUGCCAGCAGCCGCGGUAAUUC
rnacentral:rRNA from 1 species